GUUGGGUCGAUGCUGUUUGCUGGCUGUGGUCGGUUGGGGGAAAUCUGUUUUGAACUGAUUCUCUUAAGAAUGCACCAAAUCGGCUACACCAAGGUUUCAUCUGAGAGUGCUGAUUUAUACAAUGGAGUUCUUGCACUGCCUCCUGCUGUCUUUUUAGCAUUUGUUUAUUCUUUUAUUUUUGUUAGUCCCCCCAUCCCCCUGUUAGGAUUUUUCUUUUUGUAGUAAUUGCGAAGGUAGACUAACAACUCUUCAAUUUGGUUUGUUUUGGUUUCUGUUUGUUUUGGGGCUCUUCCCUGAAUUUCUACAUCCUGUUUGGUAUGAUCCCCAUGAUGGGUUGACAGCUAACGGAUAAAGCCAGCA